AGUGAACGCUGGCGGCAGGCUUAACACAUGCAAGUCGAACGGCAGCGCGGUCUUAGCCCGCGCUGCGGGGUGGCGACGGGUGGAUGGGUGAGGAAAACAUCGGCAUCUACUUUGUAGAGGGCGACGAAGGCGGGAAUCAUACCCCAAUACAGCAUACGACGUACGCGUGGGAGCGGGAGACCUUCGGCCCUUGCGCGAGUGGAUGUGCCGAUGUCGGAUUAGCUAGUUGGAGGGGUAAAGGCCCACCAAGGCGACGAUCCGUAGCUGGUCUGAGAGGAUGAUCAGCCACACUGGGACUGAGACACGGUCCAGACUCCUACGGGAGGCAGCAGUGGGGAAUUUUGGACAAUGGGCGCAAGCCUGAUCCAGCCAUGCCGCGUGCGUGAAGAAGGCCUUCGGGUUGUAAAGCGCUUUUGUUGGGGAAGAAAAGCUCCGGGCUAAUACCCCGGGGGUAUGACGGUACCGGAAGAAUAAGCACCGGCUAACUACGUG
rnacentral:rRNA from 1 species